rnacentral:rRNA from 1 species
CGUGGCGGACGGGUGAGUAACGCGUGAACAAUCUGCCUAUGUCAGGGGAAUAACGCUGAGAAAUCGGCGCUAAUACCGCAUAAGACCACGGAAGGGCAUCCUUCAGAGGUAAAAGAUUUAUCGGACAUAGAUGAGUUCGCGUCCCAUUAGGUAGUUGGUGAGGUAACGGCCCACCAAGCCGACGAUGGGUAGCCGACCUGAGAGGGUGAUCGGCCACAUUGGAACUGAGACACGGUCCAAACUCCUACGGAAGGCAGCAG